rnacentral:tRNA from 1 species
GCAUUGGUGGUAUAGUGGUGAGCAUAGCUGCCUUCCAAGCAGUUGACCCGGUUCGAUUCCUGGCUAAUGCA